UAACUCUUCUAAAAUGAAACUGUGUGGUGAAAGUAUUACGGAACAAGAUAUGCUUGAGAAAACUUUUUCUACUUUCCAUGCAAGCAAUGUGCUGUUACAACAACAGUGCAGUGAGAAAGGUUUUAAGACCUAUGCUAAUCUUAUUUCUUUUCUCUUGCUCGCUGAGCAGAACAAUGAAUUAUUGAUGAGAAACAGUCAGAUGAGACCUCUUGGAUCAGCUCCACUACCUGAAGCACACACGAGAGAGGACAAUAAAGAGUCCAACCACGUCCAAGGAAACGGCCAGUAUGGCCGUAGUCGAGACAAGUCGAACGGACGUGGACGCGGUCGAAGAUCCUUUGGCCGCGGGUGAGGAAAUGGUCGAGACCAUGGCUCAUUUGGAUGAUGUCAUGGUCGCGGCCAUGGAUCUUCAUUUAAACCCCAACACUCGACCAAACCAGACGAAUCUGCGUGCCAUAGGUGUGGUAUGAGCAAUCAUUGGGCUAAGACUUGUACGACUCCCAAGCAUCUUGUUGACCUCUAUCAAGAGAGUCUGAAAGGGAAGAAUCCUGAAGCCCAUAUGACAUACCAAGAUGAUGAAAAUGACUUCAAUCAUGAGAAGGACGAUCUUAUGGAUUAUGAAACUUCAGAUUGUCUAAAAGACACUACAAGAAAAAUGGGCUUUGAUAGCAGUGAAGGAUAACAUUUUUUGCCUUUCUGCUAUGGUUGACAUACCUGUUAGUUUUAGAUAGCGUUUGUAUAUUUAGAACCGCUAUGAUAGAACUGUAUAUUUAAAAACGCUAUGCUAGCGUAUUUUUAAUAGCGCAUUAUUAAAAACGCUAUCUUUGACUUUUUAAAUCUCUAAACCCUAAACAAGUUUUAAACCCUAAACUUUAAACAUAACUUCAAAAUCUAACUAUUUUGAUAUCAAAUCUUAAAUUUAACCUCAAAUAUUAAAUAUAAAUUCAAAAAUUAUUUCUUUUUCAAUAAUUAAUCUUAAAUCCCAAUACCUUAAACCUUUAACCCCAAACCCUAUACUCAAACAUUUAUUCUAAACUCAUAACUUUAAAUCUAAAAUCUAAAUUCAAAAAAAAAAAAUCAAACUUAAACUUAAUUCUUCAAAUUAAUUCAAAUUUCUUUUCGAAUUUUAACUUAAAGUCUUAACCUUGAACUCUAAACCUUAUAUACUCAAAUCUUAUAUAUCAUAAUAAACCUCAAACCUUCAAUAUACACAUUUAGUUAUUAAACUAAAUCAUAAAUCACAAAUCUAAUGUUCUCAAAGUUAGACACCAAACUUUGAGCAUACAUUUUUAAAAAUUAAUAUGUUUAAAUUUUAAACCUUUAAACUAAUUUUAUUUACUAUACUCUUGUAUUUUAAACCUUUAAACUAAUUUCAUUUUACAUUUAAAGUAAAUCAUAACUUAUAAAUAAUAUUAAAAUUUUCAGUCUAUUAUUUGAAACAUUGAACCAAACUAUAAUUACAUUAAUUAUAUAUAUUUUUUGGUCGAAAUUAUAUAUAAAUAUUUAACUUAAUUAUUAUAUUAAAUGAAAACAGUUUUUAAUGGAUUAAUUUUGGCCUUUGAUUGAUUUCAAUCCAAUGGCCACAAAUAUGUUUGAUUUAUCUUUUUUCUUCUUUCUCAUUGGUCAAUAUCUUAAUCACAAGGAUAGCAAUCUUAACCAUUGAAUAUUUUUGAUCCUAUGGCUAGAAAUCACACAUCUCAUAUCUUAUAUCUCAAUCUCUUUCUUCUUGUCUCACGUUAUCUCUCUCUCUCUCUUUUUUUGUUACAGAUCUAAAUAUGAUCUCAUAUCUUUUUUAAUUCUUUGGAUCUCUAUCUUCCUCAAUCACCACCACCACAACCACCCGUUUGUUUUCGCCGUCCCAGCAUCACAACCACCACCACACGACCGCUCGUUCGCCGUCCAAGCAUCACCACCACCACACAACCACGGGAUGGAGGAAGCAAGGCAAGGCAGGUAUGGCGGCUAGAGGAGGAAGAUGACGGCUUCAGAUUCAGGAAGAGGAAGCUGACGGCGAGUUGGUGAGGAGGCGACGAGAUUAGGUCUAGAUGGAUGUGACGUUUGCCUCCUCUCUGCAACUUGCAUCUCAAAUCCCAGGAUGAAGAAGAAGAAUCAUGGCUGGAAAAACACGAAGACGAAGGUGGUGGUGCGGCCGGUAGAUGAAGAAGACAACGAAGUGGUGGUGUGUUUAGUUAGUAAUUAGGUUAAAGUCUAGUUUAGUUUUUGGUUUAUUUAGUUUGUUGGUUUAUUAUUUAAUUAGAUUUUUUUUUGUAUUUUUGUAAACAAAUUUCAUUAUAGAUAAAUUUAAGUAAUAAAGAAAAUUUGAUUCUA